rnacentral:lncRNA from 1 species
UCCAGUCCAUGGCAGUUUUAUUGGGGGUUCUCCCUUCCCAUAUUUUAGCUGGAGUUGGGAAUGGGGAAGAGAAGAAGGGUGGGACAAGAGAGUGAGACUAGAAUAUAAAUAUCCGUAAACAGCAUCUGAGCAUUAGUCUUUAACAGGGAGGAGGAACCACUGGUGUAUAUUAAUUUAGGACACAGGAUCAUUAUAGGGGUAGGGCCAGCUGGUGUUAAUGGCAUGCAGGCAUAUGUGAUGCCAACCAUGAGGGCUGGAAGAACCAGAAGCCAAAGAAGAAUAUGACCGCAUCUAUUCUAAAGCUACUGUGGUGGUUUCUCAUGCUUCAGAGUCUCGUAAGUCUCCUGGUUCCUGGUGCUCAGGCCCGUGUAAACACCAUCUGAUUUCUCAUAGCUGGUUAUAGCUGCCUUUCGCACUUGGAUCUUCAGUCGACAGUAGAGGAGGGUGAGGACAAUUCCAUACAGAAACAGGAUGGCAUCCAGGAUAUAGCAGAGCUGAGGCUCUCCCAGGGCCGCUGCUUGUUCAACCAAAAGGAGUAAGAGCAAGACCACUGCUGGAAUCAUCUUGGGCUGGAGAUCGGCCGUUCUGACAGCACUGUGCAGCUGUGCUCAGCGAGCAGUUC